UUGGGUUUGUGCUGGUCAUUCAGCAGUUUGUAGCUUAGAUAUCAGUUUUUCUCUGUAUGUAUUUUUGUUUGAGGGGAAAUUCAGUUCGACUUGUUCACUUAGGCAGCUUUUCAAUUUACAGAUCAGUUUUUAUCUAAGUAUUAGGAUUUUCUUUGAAGAGGAGCAAAUCUUUUAGAACUUUGGGUUUAUCAAUGGGGAAGUGGAUGGAUUUGUUUGAGACAUCACAACCCUACAUAAGCAUGACAUUGUGAAGCUUGUUUGGAAUGGACAUUAUCACAAAGGUUGCUCUAAACCAAGGAAUGAGUCAAUUUGUUCUGGUGGUAUAAGGCAAGCUGUAGCUACUGCUGUGCUCGCUCCUUUUGCCGUUCUUCUUGAGAGGAACGUGAUGCCCAGAAUCAUAUUUACAUGUUUUGUCUUUGCACUGGGUUUGUUGGGAAUGGAGAAGGUGAAGAUUGGAGAACUGCGUAGUCGAGCAAAGAUUGUGGGAACAAUAGUAUAUGUACGAGGAGCAAUGGUGAUGACUUUCUACAAAGGCAACUCAUCAAAUGCUGUUUCCUCAUCCACCCAUAAUAGUCGCUCGAUCGAGGGUGCCAUGUUUUUGGUUACUCGAAUGCAAAAAAACUGGGCAGAAUAAGACCUUUCCAGAAUGUCAUGACCAUUGCUCCUCCUACACAUUGUUCCGAGGAUAAGUUUGAGAAUGGCAUGCAAGCAUUUACCAGCAGUGAGGCUAUUCCACCCAACCCAGAUACUGUUCUUCUAGAUAUCAAAAACCAUACAUUAGAAAAGUAUGGGAAAAAUGGUUUAUAGGGUUUAUAUCAUAUUUUUGCUCUUUGAAGUGAGGGUUUACAUCAUGUUAAGCGAGAAUCCUAUAUGAUUAAGACAACAAUGGGACGAACGACGCCAUGCAGUCGACUGAUGCAA